GAUGAACGCUGGCGGCGUGCCUAAUACAUGCAAGUCGAGCGAACAGACGAGGAGCUUGCUCCUCUGACGUUAGCGGCGGACGGGUGAGUAACACGUGGAUAACCUACCUAUAAGUCUGGGAUAACUUCGGGAAACCGGAGCUAAUACCGGAUAAUAUAUUGAACCGCAUGGUUCAAUAGUGAAAGACGGUUUUGCUGUCACUUAUAGAUGGAUCUGCGCCGCAUUAGCUGGUUGGUAAGGUAACGGCUUACCAAGGCAACGAUGCGUAGCCGACCUGAGAGGGUGGUCGGCCCCACUGGAACUGAGACGCGGUCCAGACUCCUACGGGAGGCAGCAGUAGCGAAUCUUCCGCAAUAGGCGAAAGCUUGACGGAGCAACGCCGCGUGAGUGAUGAAGGUCUUCGGAUCGUAAAACUCUGUUAUUAGGGAAGAACAAAUGUGUAAGUAACUAUGCACGUCUUGACGGUACCUAAUCAGAAAGCCACGGCUAACUACGUG
rnacentral:rRNA from 1 species